rnacentral:rRNA from 1 species
UACGGGGGGAGCAAGCGUUGUUCGGAUUUACUGGGCGUAAAGGGCGCGUAGGCGGUUCUUUAAGUCAGGCGUGAAAGCCCUGGGCUCAACCUGGGAGUGGCGCUUGAUACUGGAGGACUAGAGAGUGGGAGAGGUUGGUGGAAUUCCCAGUGUAGAGGUGAAAUUCGUAGAUAUUGGGAAGAACACCGGUGGCGAAGGCGGCCAACUGGACCAUUUCUGACGCUGAGGCGCGAAAGCGUGGGGAGCAAACAGG